AAAAAAAACACAUUUAUUGAACGAUUAACAUUGAAUCAUCAAAGAGAACAACAAAUGUCCACUACAACAGACUGCUGAAUGGUUAAAACAGAAAUAAACAUGUUGGGACAGACCAAUAGUAUCGAUUUAUGGGAAAAAAAAACUAAAAUCUCCUAAAUUGACCAAAAUCUGACAUCAGUUCCUACCCAACAUAAUUGUGAUUUAAAUAAAUGGUUUUAUAGUAUAUAGCAACAUGACCAGCAAACUUUUCUGACACUUAAAAACAUGUCAUUGUUCCUCCUCCAUCCAAUAAAAUCCAAACUUUCCUCCCUACAGCAACACAGCUGCAACACUUGUGUUAAUAUUUGGAAUGGAGGAAAAGUGGUGGGUUUCAUAGCACAUCUGUGACAAACUACCUGCUGGGAAAGAUAAAAGUAGCGGUUUGGGAUCAAGAGGCAGGGCACCUCACUGGGAUUCUCAACCCAGUUUAACACCAGUUUGGGACAUUUUGAACUUUUAGACUGAAACUUUCACACACUUGGUAUUUUCUUACCAUUUUUGGGGGGGGCGGGGGGGGGGGGGUACCACACUACUAAUUUUUCACUGUAUUGAUUUGCUACAGGGCUCUGGUGAUGGAGCUGUUCUGAUGACUUUUGAAUAUUCAUCAGCGCGCAGUUGUCGGAAAGUGCCAUUUUUAGAUGGCGGUUGUUGGAAACAACGUAUCAUUUUAACAUAUACGGUACCUAAAAAUUCAUCUAACCUGCACCCUGUAAGCCUAGUAACUCUGAAAAUGUUUUUCUAUGAAUUAUGUAGAUGCAUAAGCAGUUCGCUUCCUAACAGUGAUGAGCAAUGUGGGGAAGAAAAAUGAACACAAAAACAUGCCUAAUUUUUUUUCCCAAACGUGAAAGUACCGGCUCACUGGUAUCUGUGCGGUAUUUGUGCGCCGUGGCAACACAGCUUUUGCUUAGUUGGGUCUUUCUUCAGCCCUUUUGUGAUGGAAUAAUAGAAGCUAUCCCAGCACGAGGAUCAGUUGGUUUGACUUCAGUUUUUACAAAGGGCGGCGGAUUUCAUUGACUUGCUUGGGUUUGUUUAAAUCAGCUCUUCUGCACGACAAUGGGACGGACAACCUCCGUCGGUUGAGCCGCGUGACUUCCGAGCGCUGACUUAAGCAGCAACCUGAGGCCGCAUGAAGGAGCAGCAAAUUCAUGUGUCUGCUUGUCUGUUGAGCUUGAAAGAGGAAGAAUAUUUUUUGGGAGAGGAGAGACAGAGAGAGAGAGAAAAAUAAUUAUCUGUGGCCAAAACGAAACUGGCAGAGAAUGCGAGGAGUGCAUGUGGCAGUGGGCUGCACUAUAAAGACAUCUGCUGAUUGCACAGUUUGGGGAGAGGACUGCUACAGAGACCAGCCUGGCAGGCAAACGUGCAAAAGAGAGACGGCAGGAACAAGAGACGCUCGCAGUCAGUCACCUUGAACAUGAGGACGUCAGAGUCCAGACAGACACAGUCAGACGCAUGGCCACAGUUUGGUACGCAGAUUCACAGAGGCAGGAUGAGCAAACAAGAUUGGUCCGAGCUGACCUUUAACUUUGGCCAAGGCUGACGGCGGCCUGGCGCCCGAUCAAUGAACUGAGGAAGCGGCCUGCGCGUCCCCUGCUCUGUUCACCCGAGCCAAGAAGGUGCGGACACUGCCAGAAGCAUCGCCACCAAGCAGAUCCGUCCAAAUUGACUCUCGGCCGUUCCGCAGGGUGACGGUUUGGACGCUGCGCUGCCCUGCCAUGUAGGAAAGGACGGCCAGAAGAGAGGAUCUUUCUCUGUGGCUAAAUAAACUACUUGUGAAUGUCACACUCAAUCUGAACAAGCCGGCUAAAAGAUGACCUGCACUUUAAGUAUGGCUUAACCAUUUGGAAAAAUAAUCUAAUUGUGAUUGUUUUCUCUCUCUCUGAAUAAUUCAAUUGUGAUUUCAUAUACAAUAUUUUUUUUCAAGAUUCUCCUCCCAUGUAUUUCUUUUUCACAAACACAAGCAAUAAAUUCAUCUGUAUUACAAUAAGCAACAUUAUUCUAAUUAGAUUUAUGCUAAGAUCAGAGUGCAGCAAAAAGAUCUUUUGGGCGGGUGGCUCAACGGGAAUUGGCACUGGCUCUGAUUUCAAACCAUUUUUAAAGAAAUUCAGAAUUGUAAAUUUUAUGUAGCCCAACUUGUGUUUGAAACACACUUGAGCUGCUUAAAAAAAUAUGCACACUAUCCAUGCUCCAGUAUACAGGUAUUGUGAUGCAAAACAAUAUUCAACAGCAUUUAUAAUUACAGAUGUAGGCUUGCCUGACAAUGAAUUGCAGACAGUCGCCAAAAUGCAAGUGAGAGCCUCAUGUCGUUUAUUGUUUUGUUUUGUUUUUUAAAUUGUAGCCUGGUCAGGCCAACUUCAGUGAACUUUAGCAUCAGUGGCCCAACACAGUCACGUGAUGACCCCUGGCCAUCAGGCCACCGUUAUUGUCGCACCCUGCAGAUGUUUUGGUCAUACAGGUUCGGCUUGCACUAAAGUAAAGGCAAGUGAACCAUAAAUUAUUAUGGCAAAAACAAAGAUUUAUUAAGAUCUAUUGGAGUUGAUAACUUAGUCAACACCUUGACUUCCAGUUGCUUAAGGGGUCACUAUGACAACUUUGGAAAAUUCCACCAAACAAGUGAGGCGUCGACAUUAAGUCAGUGAGAAAAUAAAUCAAAUUAUGACAAUAAUGCCAACAAAACUUCAUCUUCUCAUGAAACAAUGGUAUGAAUGUGGACUUCCCUUUUUAAGUUGCUUACCUGAAAGACAAAUUUUAAAAAAUAAAACAAAACAAAGAAACAAAUCACACAUACAUACAUUUUGAAAAUGUGUUUACAUUUAUAUAUGUAUAAACAAGAAAGCCUUCCAACUAACUGAAAUAAAAUUAAGCUUCUCCCCCCGCCCUAAAUCGUGAUUUGAAAAUUGCAUUCCACUAGAUUGCGAGUGCUGAUUUGAAUUCAAAUAAUUGUUUGUCUCAAGGUAUCAGUGUAACCGGCUGCGUUGUGUUUAUGAGUAUUGAUGACGCACAGCAGGAUUUCUUGUGUUGGUUGCGUUUAAUAGUCUUAAUCACAAAGCCCGGCGAAAACAGCAGAAAACAAUGUCCUCCUCGUCAAUUACAUUGAUAAAGCGUACCCGUCCCCAUGGACAGCACAAGAGAAAAAGGCCACACAAACACAACAUACCUGACGCAAACAACAGAAAACAAUGCCCUCCUCGUCAAUUACAUUGAUAAAGCGUCAACAACAGUAUGACGGCAAUACUCACAAUGAAGCCUAUGAAAUAACAUAAAAUAGUAAUGUAACCGCUUCCUAUACGAUGCCUGUGUGUUGAAGUCCUGUCAACACAUCACAAAACUUCCUCCUGUGUUUUUGGUAUGCACUUAAAACAUUACCACAGGGUAUAUACGGCGUAUAUUGUUUUAUCGUGUUCUCCCGCAUGCCUGAUGUGCUGCUCAGUGGGUGCUUUGCAAUCCAGAUGGUACGCUGCUGUAAACCUUUUAUCACAGCAGCCCCCCCCCCACACACACACACACAAAAAACAAGCUACAGCAACAUCAUAUUUAUGGUGCAUUUUAAUUGCGUCAACAUCAAUUCGGAUAAAAAUAUUCCUUCCAUAUGAGAAGUGAAGAGGGAUAGACAAAAAAAAAACAUCAUCCCAAAGCUUUAGCACAGAUUGUUCUUUUUAUUAUCAUUAACAGUAAUGUGAUGCUGAGGCCCCAUGUGACCCCCUCAUAGCGGCACCUCAUUUCCAAAGUCAUUCAUUAGAACAAACAGAAGGCGGGCAGCGGAAAGACGGCGUGGGGAGUGAGAUGGAGAGAGGGAGAGGGAGAGACACGAGUAUAAAACAAAUGAGAUUGUUCUUAUUGGAGGAAGCACUUUGAAAAAAAUAAAAAUAAAAUAAGAAAAAAAAAACAAUCCCCAAAAGUGUGAUAUUUGGAGAUGUCACGCCGAGCUCGUGAUCCAGUUGUUGGUUUUGUGCUUGGAAGUGUAAUCACAGUUACACUUACUGUCCACUUUGGAUUUCGAGGCCCACGGGGAGUCUUGGAAAAUGGCUCUGGUUUGUUAGGAUUGUGAUUGUCCAAGCAAAAAAAACAACAAAAAAAGAAAAA